GACGAACGCUGGCGGCGUGCUUAACACAUGCAAGUCGAACGGAAAGGCCUGCUUUCCCUUGUGGAUUGCGGGUACUCGAGUGGCGAACGGGUGAGUAACACGUGAGUGAUCUGCCCCCAACUUGGGUAUAAGCCUGGGAAACUGGGUCUAAUUCCCGAUAGGACUGCAGGGUGGUGCCUGUGGUGGAAAACGAUUUUCUAGUGGUUGGGGAUGAGCUCGCGGCCUAUCAGCUUGUUGGUGGGGUAAUGGCCUACCAAGGCGGCGACGGGUAGCCGGCCUGAGAGGGGGGACGGCCACAUUGGGACUGAGAUACGGCCCAGACUCCUACGGGAGGCAGCAGUGGGGAAUAUUGCAAAAUGGGCGGAAGCCUGAUGCAGCGACGCCGCGUGGGGGAUGACGGCCUUCGGGUUGUAAACUCCUUUCGACCGCGAGGAAGCCACCUGGUUGGAAGGGUGGUGACGGUAGUGGUAGAAGAAGCACCGGCUAACUACGUG
rnacentral:rRNA from 1 species